CCUGUAAAAGGAAAAGUGGAAUCCAGUCCCCAGAGGGCUAUGCGGAGACUAAACCAGAUAUCUGAAGACGAUUAUACUCAAGACCGCUGACCUUCGGGGAUUUCUGUUCAUGGAGGAGAGAAGACGCGCUGGAAAAGUAAAGGGAAGAAAUACAGGAACUCCUGCAAGUUUACCUGAAUCUACUGCAACAUUGAUCGGAUGGAAAUCAAGCUGAAAAACCCUAUGGAAAAUUGCCUCACGUGAGAAACCACAGCACCAAAUCC
rnacentral:lncRNA from 10 species